rnacentral:misc_RNA from 1 species
AAAAAAAAAAAAAAAACCAUACACAUAAUUUGUAUAUAUAUAUAAUAGUAAUAACAAUAAAAUUUUUUUAACUCUUAGCGGUGGAUCACUUGGCUCAUGGAUCGAUGAAGAACGCAGCUAGCUGCGA